UACAGAGGCCCCAAGCGUUGUUCGGAAUUACUGGGCGUAAAGCGAAUGUAGGCGGUGACGUAAGUCAGAUGUGAAAGCCCGGGGCUUAACCCCGGAAUGGCAUUUGAUACUGUGUCGCUGGAGUGCGAUAGAGGAAAGCGGAAUUUCCGGUGUAGGGGUGAAAUCCGUAGAUAUCGGAAGGAAUACCGAUGGCGAAGGCAGCUUUCUGGCUCGCAACUGACGCUGAGAUUCGAAAGCGUGGGUAGCAAAC
rnacentral:rRNA from 1 species